UAGAAGGAAAUUAAACGAGAGCUCCAAGACACUGCACCCGGAUCAAGUUUAAAAAAGGUUGAGAUCCGAGAGGACAGGAUCAUGAUGAGAUGCACAGACGCAGAUUUGCUGUCAGGCUGCAUUUUGGGUCAGAGACCUAAGGUCUAGAAUGUAGGAGUUUGACUCAUGCCUGUCCUUUUGGAGCUUUGGACACAUUUCUUAGGAAUGUGAAGACUGCAGGCUCAACCCAGUCUUUGAAUCUGAAGUUUCAGCCAAGAGCACCUAACCUGAAACUACUGGGUGUCAGCAAGCCAGGAGCCAGGCUACAAGCUGUUUGUUCUUCGUGGCUUUAUUGCCAGGAGACAACUCAGGGAGCAGCAAUGGGCUGAAGCACCUGGUCACUUAGAUCUGGUUGGUGGUUUUGUGGCUCUCUGACUGAGACCUCUGGCAAGUUCUGCACCUUUCUGCUGUUCAUCUUGUUGCUUGAAAAAUGAGGCAGAGGAACCAGAUGAUCUUGGCUCCAGCCACGGAAAGGGUGAAGGCCGCGCGCCGUGCUCCACUGGCUGACUGUCGCAUGCUGCGUUCCCUGUGAAGCAUAGCAAGCCAUUACCAUGUCCACACGGGAUGCCGGAAGAGUUAAGGGUUCAGACCUGGCUCUGUUCACUACCCCUGCUCUGUACCAGGCUCACCAAAACACCUGGGGACAAGUGACCUGCACGCCAGGCAUGUACUCACAGUGAACCCGACAAGGGCAGACGGGAUACCUGCACGACUGAAGGCCACAGCUACCACUAGGUUUGCCUGGCCAGCGCCCACACUUCCUCUGAGCUCCAUCCUGGGUGGGCAGAAAAUGCUGUCUUCUUUGUAAGUAGAGGUUGCCUGUUUGGUAAAGAAAAUCUCCCUCUUCUCCACAAAGUAUUUAUCUUCUCAAGCAUCUUUCUAAAUUGCCUGGGUUCCACCAAUAGAAUCGUGCUUUUUACACACAGCUGAGAAACUGUUGAGCUGGGGAAUUCCAGUCUCUUGUUUGGAUUGCUUUGCAUUCGAAACAAGCAUAUUUCCUGGUAGAAUGCAACAGAAGUCAGAAAAAGAUAUGCGUAUGGUGCUCCAAUAGCUAGAUUAGUUCACUGUCAGGUCUUCUGAUUCUUAAAUUGUGUGUGUGUGUGUGUACACGCAUGUGUGUGCAAUCUCCAUAGAGACCAGAAGACAACAUUGGAUUCUACAGAACCAGAGGUACAAGCAGUUAUGAGUCUUGGAGCAGGCACUAGGGACAGUUGUGAGUUGCCUGACAAGAAUGCUGGGGCUCAAAUUCUGGUCCUCUGGAAAAUCAGUACGAGCUCUUAACAGCUGAGCCACUGCUCUAGCCUCACCCUGCCUUAAGACGAUGCUGAGACUCAGAGCCAAACUUUGGGCAGAGUGAGGGGAUCUUAUGAAAGAAGGGGGAGAUAGAAAGACCUGGAGGGGACAGGAGCUCCACAACAAACCAAAAACUAUGGGCAUAGGGGUCUUUGCUGAGACUGAUAAUCCAACCAAGGACCAUUCAUGGAUAUAACCUAGAACCCCUGCACAGAUGUAGCCCAUGACAGUUCAGUGUCCAAGUGGGUUCCCUAAUAAGGGAAACAGGGGCUGUCUCUGACAUGAACUCAGUGGCUGGCUCUUCGAUCACCCCCCCCUGAUGGGGGAGCAGCUUUACCAGGCCACAGAGGAAGACAAUUUAACCAGUUCUGAUGAAACCUGAUAGGCUAGGAUCAGAUAGAAGGGGAGGGAGGAGGACCUCC